UGGGGAAUAUUGCACAAUGGGCGCAAGCCUGAUGCAGCAACGCCGCGUGAACGAUGAAGGUCUUCGGAUCGUAAAGUUCUGUUGCAGGGGAAGAUAAUGACGGUACCCUGUGAGGAAGCCCCGGCUAACUACGUGCCAGCAGCCGCGGUAAUACGUAGGGGGCUAGCGUUAUCCGGAUUUACUGGGCGUAAAGGGUGCGUAGGUGGUCCUUCAAGUCGGUGGUUAAAGGCUACGGCUCAACCGUAGUAAGCCGCCGAAACUGGAGGACUUGAGUGCAGGGGAGGAAAGUGGAAUUCCCAGGGGAGCGGUGAAAUGCGUAGAUAUUGGGAGGAACACCAGUAGCGAAGGCGGCUUUCUGGACUGCAACUGACACUGAGGCACGAAAGCGGGGGUAGCAAACAGG
rnacentral:rRNA from 1 species